rnacentral:rRNA from 1 species
UACGGGAGGCAGCAGUGGGGAAUAUUGCACAAUGGGCGCAAGCCUGAUGCAGCCAUGCCGCGUGUAUGAAGAAGGCCUUCGGGUUGUAAAGUACUUUCAGCGGGGAGGAAGGCGAUGCGGUUAAUAACCGCGUCGAUUGACGUUACCCGCAGAAGAAGCACCGGCUAACUCCGUGCCAGCAGCCGCGGUAAUACGGAGGGUGCAAGCGUUAAUCGGAAUUACUGGGCGUAAAGCGCACGCAGGCGGUCUGUUAAGUCAGAUGUGAAAUCCCCGGGCUUAACCUGGGAACUGCAUUUUGAACUGGCAGGCUUGAGUCUUGUAGAGGGGGUAGAAUUCCAGGUGUAGCGGUGAAAUGCGUAGAGAUCUGGAGGAAUACCGGUGGCGAAGGCGGCCCCUGGGACAAAGACUGACGCUCAGGUGCGAAAGCGUGGGGAGCAAACGAGGGAUUAGGAUACC